rnacentral:rRNA from 1 species
UUUUAUGGAGAGUUUGAUCCUGGCUCAGAGUGAACGCUGGCGGCGUGCCUAAUACAUGCAAGUCGAACGAUGAAGCUUCUAGCUUGCUAGAAUGCUGAUUAGUGGCGCACGGGUGAGUAACGCAUAGGUCAUGUGCCUCUUAGUUUGGGAUAGCCAUUGGAAACGAUGAUUAAUACCAGAUACUCCCUACGGGGGAAAGAUUUAUCGCUAAGAGAUCAGCCUAUGUCCUAUCAGCUUGUUGGUAAGGUAAUGGCUUACCAAGGCUAUGACGGGUAUCCGGCCUGAGAGGGUGAACGGACACACUGGAACUGAGACACGGUCCAGACUCCUACGGGAGGCAGCAGUAGGGAAUAUUGCUCAAUGGGGGAAACCCUGAAGCAGCAACGCCGCGUGGAGGAUGAAGGUUUUAGGAUUGUAAACUCCUUUUGUUAGAGAAGAUAAUGACGGUAUCUAACGAAUAAGCACCGGCUAACUCCGUGCCAGCAGCCGCGGUAAUACGGAGGGUGCAAGCGUUACUCGGAAUCACUGGGCGUAAAGAGCGCGUAGGCGGGAUAGUCAGUCAGGUGUGAAAUCCUAUGGCUUAACCAUAGAACUGCAUUUGAAACUACUAUUCUAGAGUGUGGGAGAGGUAGGUGGAAUUCUUGGUGUAGGGGUAAAAUCCGUAGAGAUCAAGAGGAAUACUCAUUGCGAAGGCGACCUGCUGGAACAUUACUGACGCUGAUUGCGCGAAAGCGUGGGGAGCAAACAGGAUUAGAUACCCUGGUAGUCCACGCCCUAAACGAUGGAUGCUAGUUGUUGGAGGGCUUAGUCUCUCCAGUAAUGCAGCUAACGCAUUAAGCAUCCCGCCUGGGGAGUACGGUCGCAAGAUUAAAACUCAAAGGAAUAGACGGGGACCCGCACAAGCGGUGGAGCAUGUGGUUUAAUUCGAAGAUACACGAAGAACCUUACCUAGGCUUGACAUUGAGAGAAUCCGCUAGAAAUAGUGGAGUGUCUGGCUUGCCAGACCUUGAAAACAGGUGCUGCACGGCUGUCGUCAGCUCGUGUCGUGAGAUGUUGGGUUAAGUCCCGCAACGAGCGCAACCCCCUUUCUUAGUUGCUAACAGGUCAUGCUGAGAACUCUAAGGAUACUGCCUCCGUAAGGAGGAGGAAGGUGGGGACGACGUCAAGUCAUCAUGGCCCUUACGCCUAGGGCUACACACGUGCUACAAUGGGGUGUACAAAGAGAAGCAAUACUGCGAAGUGGAGCCAAUCUUCAAAACACCUCUCAGUUCGGAUUGUAGGCUGCAACUCGCCUGCAUGAAGCUGGAAUCGCUAGUAAUCGCAAAUCAGCCAUGUUGCGGUGAAUACGUUCCCGGGUCUUGUACUCACCGCCCGUCACACCAUGGGAGUUGUGUUUGCCUUAAGUCAGGAUGCUAAAUUGGCUACUGCCCACGGCACACACAGCGACUGGGGUGAAGUCGUAACAAGGUAACCGUAGGUGAACCUGCGGUUGGAUCACCUCCUUUCUAGA